UUUUGUUGACGAUUGAAGAUUUUCGCGAGUUGUGUGUAAUUUUGUCUUGAUUAAUUGAUGAUUUCUUCGCGUCCAAGAGAAGCAAGACAAACUUGAAUUUUGCAGGCAAAAGCAACGUUUUCAUAACAAUGUCUACCCAGACGAAAAAAGGUGGUGAGAAACUGCUUCUGGGUCCCGCCAAGAAGUCGUACGGGCGAUCGUACGGAAGUACGAAAAAAUCGACGCAGGAUAUUUUCAUCAAACACAUAGUGACAGCAAGUGACACACUGGCCGGGAUUGCAUUGAAAUACGCCGUAUCGGUUGAGCAAAUCAAACGAGCAAAUAAACUCUACACCAAUGACAGUAUCUUCCUUCGUUCAACACUUAGUAUUCCAGUCGGUGAUCAACCACUUCCAGCUCAUGUCCUUGAAAAUGCAACAUCAAGGGCAAACGGGAGCCCCAUCCACAAAGUAGCCGUUGAUGCGGUUCUUUGUGAGAGCUCUGAAGAGGAGGAGCUUGGAGGCGAGGAGGAGGAGAAGAAAGAGGAGGAAGGAGUAGUGACUGAAGAUACACGAGAUAUGCCCAUGGACUUCUUUAAUCGUAUCGAUAGACAGAUGAGAGAAAGGAAGAAUAAUAUCGAGAAAAUUGAGACGAAUAGCAGUGUUUCACAAAUUGAAGCCAUCUCACCAAAUGUUCAAAGCAGUUCCGCCAAGAAGUCGCCAUCGAGGGUGUCGUCCACCCAAGGUUCUAUGGUCAACAACAGCUACCAGACAGGGACAGUUACAGUCAACUCAGAUGCCACGCAAAGAAGAGGGGAUGUGCUGAAUGAGAACACGAGGGGCGGAGUUAGUAAAGGAAAAGAAGCUAAAGUUGAACUGGUAUCAUGUGAUGAGAAGGAAAUGGUGUCAGGAAGAUCGUCUAACGACGAAGGGAAGGCUAGAGUUAGAUUGGUAUAGUGGUUCUCGCAGGGCUUUUUAACAUGGUACUUAUCGGACUUAAUAUGUAGCAGAAGAGGCAAGGCAGCCAGAGGUGGAGCUGAGGUGAUGCACCAGCGCCCUCUGUUGACAAGGACAACUCAUUCUGUGGCAAAACACCAAUUAUCUCAUCGAGGCAACUUUAUAUUUUCCCAAACGAAAGGUUAAAAGUGAAUCUGGAAGUAGUACCCCUUGUUCUCUGCUCCCACAAAACGUUGAAAGUAGAAAAGGUAAUCCCAUCUAUAUUCCUUUGUGCCAUUUGUGAUUAUGAGUAGUGACUCUCCUUAAACCAAUAUUGGGGCCAGACUAGUUCCCCUCCGAGCCUCACUUUGGUAGUGCUGUAAAUCAAGUAUUGUAUCAAGUUAAACCAAUUAGAAGAAUCACCUCUGCCCUUCAUACACAAGGACAAAAGUGCCUUGGUUUUAGAAAGGAUUAAGGAUCGGCCUGCCCAACAAUUUGAAAAACAGGACCUCUCCUCCCUUCUAAAGUUGUUGAAGACUUUAUACAAUGCUUGUAUAUUAUGAUUAGGUGUAUGUGGGUAGAUACCGUUGAACUAGAACAGAGCACAGUGCUGAGGUAGAGCGCCCUCUAUGUCAGCUAUGGACAUAGAGUAGCUAUGGACAUAGAGUAUCAAUAGCAUGUGGUAUGCAUGUUACGCCAAUGUUUACCAGUGCCCAGUUUCAUAGAGCUGCUUAUAAGCUCAAAAAAAUUGUUUAGCAUAAAGUUAUGCUCAUCAGAAUUAGGUU